rnacentral:rRNA from 1 species
AUUGAACGCUGGCGGCAGGCUUAACACAUGCACGUCGAGCGUGCGGCGGACGGGUGAGUAAUGUCUGGGAAACUGCCUGAGGGAGGGGGAUAACUACUGGAAACGGUAGCUAAUACCGCAUACCAUCAGAUGUGCCCAGAUGGGAUUAGCUAGUAGGUGGGGUAAUGGGUGAACUAGGCGACGAUCCCUAGCUGGUCUGAGAGGAUGACCACGCACAGUGGAAUUGAGACACGGUCCAGACUCCUACGGGAGGGAGAAGUGGGGAAGAUUGCACAAUGGGCGCAAGGCUGAUGCAGCGAUGCCGCGUGUGUGAAGAAGGUCUUCGGGUUGUGAAGAACUUUCAGCGAGGAGGCGUUACUCGCAGAAGAAGCGACGGCUAAGACCGUGCCAGCAGCCGCGGUAAUAC